rnacentral:rRNA from 1 species
UACGGGGGGGGCAAGCGUUGUUCGGAAUUACUGGGCGUAAAGGGCUCGUAGGCGGCCAACUAAGUCGGAUGUGAAAUCCCCAGGCUUAACCUGGGAACUGCAUCCGAUACUGGAUGGCUUGAAUCCGGGAGAGGGAUGCAGAAUUCCAGGUGUAGCGGUGAAAUGCGUAGAUAUCUGGAGGAAUACCGGUGGCGAAGGCGGCAUCCUGGACCGGCAUUGACGCUGAUGAGCGAAAACUAGGGGAGCAAACGGG